rnacentral:rRNA from 1 species
GGAAUAUUGGUCAAUGGGCGCAAGCCUGAACCAGCGACGCCGCGUGCGGGAUGAAGGGGCUUUGCCUCGUAAACCGCUGUCGGAUGGGACGAAAGAUAGCUUUGAGCUAUUGGGACGGUACCAUCAAAGGAAGGAUCGGCUAACUACGUGCCAGCAGCCGCGGUAAUACGUAGGAUCCGAGCGUUGUCCGGAGUUACUGGGUGUAAAGGGUGCGUAGGCUGUUCUGUGCGUCAGAGGUGAAAUCCACGGGCUUAACUCGUGGGGUGCCUUUGAUACGGCAGGGCUUGAGUACGAGAGAGGUGCGUGGAAUUCCUGGUGUAGCAGUGAAAUGCGUAGAUAUCAGGAGGAACACCGGUGGCGAAGGCGGCGCACUGGCUCGUAACUGACGCUGAGGCACGAAAGCGUGGGGAUCAAACAGGAUUAGAUACCCUGGUAGUCCACGCCUUAAACGAUGCAUGCUUGGUGUUGGUCUCGCAAGAGAUCAGUGCCGUAGUUAACAUGAUAAGCAUGCCACCUGGGGAGUACGAUCGCAAGGUUGAAACUCAAAUGAAUUGACGGA